rnacentral:lncRNA from 1 species
ACUUUUCAACUAUUUUGUCUCCCAUGGCCGGCCAUCACACUUUCAAUGGCCAAAUUUCACUUUAAAGACCCCAAAUUUAAGAUACAAGGCAAUUUAACACCUUUAGGUAUUAAAACACAACUUUUACUUUUUACGCGAUUUAGUCCUUUUUCGAAAUUGGACUAGAAAUCGCUAAAAUUACUAUACCAAAAUUAACAUGCACUUAUAAAAUCAUAUUAUAACACAUAAAAUAAUACUAAAAUAAUUUUCUCUGGCCUCGGAAUAGUGGUCCCGAAACCAUUGUUCCGAUUAGAACCAAAAUCGGGCUGUUACAUUUCUUCCCCCUUUAGGUAUUUUCAUCCCCGAAAAUCUUACCAGAAAAAGUUGUUCUCUACUUUCACGAGUCACUUAUAUCGUUUUCUCACAACUUACAAAACAACUCCGCACAAGCUCAUACUCAAGAUUUCCUAUAGCUUUUCCAUAGUUGAGGUAUAAACCUCGAAGCUCAAUUUGAAACACUGGAGACUGACAUUCUUGGAACUAUAAACUCAGAAACAUACAACUCAGUCACAUCUGUUGAAUAAUAUAUCUGUACAUACUAAAAUAAUCAUGCAGACUUCCAUCAUCAAUCUUUCACAAUUCAACUUGCAUCUCUCCUUUUUCCUGGAAAUAAGAGACAUCCCGAUACGAAAUUCAUAACAGUCCUUUCUCAUUUUCUUCCCACUGUCAUCACUGACAAUAAUAAUCUCGAAUACAUUUGAUAUUCGGCUUUACCCUAUAGACAAUUCGACAUCCUUUGAACGAAUAAACAAGAUACUGCUGUGAACUCUGUACUCAAUUCUCUGUAUACCCAGAGUUUCUCAGUACUGAAAUCUUACUCUGAAUUAAUAGUAAUAGAAACCAGAAAUCAAAUCCUCCCUGCAAUUCCAAAUUAAAAGUCGAAUCGUGUUGUACUUGUUUAAUUUACCACUUAUAGCCACAUUUUUAUACUCUGAUCAUCAACUGUUUAGAAACUUUACUAACAUGAAUCAAAUGAUUCCAACUUCAUAGAUGUGGUAUUUUUAUUAAUCAGUAUAACUAUACUUAUAACAUCUCUCGAACAAGAGAAAUCCAACUAAUAUGUUUCCAUAACAUACUUUCAAGAAUAAAACCCCAUCAUUUCUGACUGUACGACUACUUACCAAAGAACACGUAACGGUAUUCUCGAACCAGAGAAUAAACUUAAAUGCACAUAACUCAGAUUUACUUUUGUAGAAUAACCAUUCUUUACCCCAGAAGUUUUAAAGAAAUCUCGACACUGAAAUCCCCACACUUCUAUGGUCGAGCCAGAAGCUUAAUCAUAACAGAUUCUAAUAUCGCAAGUCAAAGAUUACUCGUAAAGAUAAGCCAAGCUUGAUAAUUCUCGAAAAAAGAACGAGAGAAAAGCCAAUAUAAGAAAUUCCAAGAUAUAAAGACUACACCAGAAAUCCGAGAAUAUAAUCCAGAAAGAAAAUAAUAAAUAUGAUCCGAAAAAUCCCUCAGAGAAAACCAGAAGGAAACUACUGUCUGUACGCUUUAGAAUUUCUCAUAAUAGAGAUAAUAUAAUUCUCACAUAUAUAAACCAUAAUCAAUAGAAUAUCAGAAUAAUCUCACAUAGAUUUUUUUUUUACUAUCAACUUCAUUCCAAUAUAUCAGAAUAGAAAUCUGAAGAGAUGGGGAAAAUGUCAAUUAUAACUAACUGGACCAAUAGAGCUUUUCAUCUAAUAUCACAGUCACUAGCAUCCUCGUAUGAUAGAAUUUCCAUUCAAAAGGGAUAACCAUACGUAUUCCCCAGAAUUGAGGAAAACAUAGAAUACUCAGAAGAGAAAGAUAGCCAUCACUUUUAUUUGAUUGAAUCCGACAUACUCAAACAUCAGUGCAAAUCCGACAUUAUUCUUCUAACUAAUUCUGUCUUCACUAAUCCCAUACUAUUCCAUUAUUUUACUUUUUAGUUUCACGUUUGCAAGCUUAUGCAACAUAUCUCUCGAAAAUCUCAUCGUAUAACUCUAUUCUGGUAAGGGCGCGAAGAUUGUAAAGCCUCUAAACUUUUGACUCUCAAGAAAAUACAUAUUCAACAACAAUAUAGCUUUACGCAUAUUGAUUCAAACAUUUCAAAUUUCCAACUUGUUAUGAACACAUUUUCACAUAUCUCAGUAAUACAUGCAACUUUAUUUCGUGCGAAUAUUAGCUAAACAUAAGUGAAUUUAUCAUAACUCAAACUUUCAUUUCUUUUUUUCAAAUUACCCUUAAUGUUUUAUCAAAUUCCCAUAUUUAGUCUUAAUCACUUGCCAAUAUUUAUCAAAUUGGAGAACGUCUUAUGGUUUUGAGUACAUCGUUUACUUGAUGCCAUAGUUCAACUAUGGUUUUGUACUAGCUCUCAUCCAUCUGUAUCGAUGCAGUGUCCCAGACAGGUCUUACACUGACACAUGUAACCGUGCUGACGCAUGUCCCAGACAUGUCUUACACUAGCACAUCUCGUAGCCGACGCAUGUCCCAGACAUGUCUGACAUUGGCUAACAUCUCGAGGUCGAUGCAUGUCCCAGACAUGUCUUACACUGGCUCUCAUACUGUGGCUGAUGCAUGUUCCAGACAUGUCUUACACUAGCCCUCGUCUCAAUGCCGAUGCCAUGUCCCAUACAUGGUCUUACACUGGCACACAAAUCUCAUGUAUUGCCAUGGUCCAACCAUGGUCUUUUCCGUCAAUUCAUUAGUGAACGAUCGUACUCAUUCCCUGCGUUCCACCCAAUUUGAUCUUUCAUUACAACUUUCAUGCUAUUGUGACAUUUAUGAUUCUGUAACUGAGAUUAUAAAGCAUAACAUUACUGCAUAUUGACUUCAUCAAUCUAAACAUAAAUGUCAACCUCAUGUAUAUACUGAUUAUUAAUCAUGCAACAAAAGCAUUCAUAUAUACUGAUUAUUAAUCAUGCAACAAAAGCAUUCAUACAUACAUUCUGUCAUUUCAAGCAAAUUUCUUUCUUUUCCUAAACACUUGGCCAAAUCAAGUUGGACAUUUAACAUCGUAUGAAUACUAACAUGCAUAAAAGCGUUUUUUCACAACUUAACUGUGUUUUACUCCACUAUUUCACAUUCUUUAUCUCAAGAGUAUCACAUAAUGAAAACUAGUUCAUAUAAAAAAAAUUAUGGAUUUCUUUUCAUACCUUUCCCAAUUUUCAGUAUAUCAUAAGCAUGAUUCAAUAAUCUCAACUUUACUCUUAUCUCUAUCAAGAUUUGCUCGGUUGGAACUCAUUCAUGUCUUAAUCAACAGUUUUGUUAGGGCCGAAAGAUAUCACACUAUCACGAGUAAUACUAUGGCAUGUAUAGCUAGACUCUCUUACGCUAGGUUAGCCCGAGAACCGACUAAACCAUGCUCUGAUACCACUAAAUGUAACACCCCUCGCCCGCAUCCGACGCCGGGACGGGGUUCAAGGUGCUACCUGACUUUUACUAACACUUUCAUACUAAACAGGGCCAUGAAAUCUCAAAUAGUUAAAAACUUUUCUUUUCACAUAUAAUAUGUCUCAUAUACGGGCUUACGAGGCCCAAAACAUACAUCUGGAGUGGUUCAGGACCCAAUCUAGAACUCAUGAAAAACUUAAAAAAAUCUCUUGCGUUAAGGCUUCAAACGCCUAUAUGCUCAGGCCGUGUGGCCAGAAAUAGGCUAAUUAUUAAGCCUUUUAGCACUCUCACACCAUAUGCAUAGAUACAUACUUAUCCAAUAACAUACAACGUGACAUAAAUGAGCUCUUAAACAUCUACAAACAUGUUAUGCUCAAGUUAUUUUCUUAUGCAAUAAAUAUUAUAGAAUUUGCCUAUAUCAUUACCACAUACUAGACAUAACUAUCAUUACAUCACAAACCAUUCAUGAAGCAUUAUUAACUAUUUACCAAUCACUUAAUCCUGCAUUAGUUACUAGCUCAUCAAUGAAUCUCAAUUCAAUCUCUAGGCAUACAUGUUGUAAGCCACAUCACAAGAAAUAAUAACAUAAAUGCAUAAGAAUAAUCAUAUGGGCCCAUAACGAUAUUAGCCGACAUAGGCCAAUUUACAUAACUAAUACUACCUUAAUAACAAGCCAAUGCCUUUGGCUAAAUCAUAAUAUUACAUACUCACAUUAAAACCCUAUACAUGCCAUAGACUCGAAUCACUUGAGUUUACUUACUCCGAUAACGUUAACUCGAUAGGGUGAUAAUAUCUCUGACGGCCUCCAACCCGAGCUAACCUGGAUACUCUAAAAAACAUGGGAAAGAAAGGGGGUAAGCUUUCGCUUAGUAAGUUCAUAUGAAAACAAUAAGCAACUCAUUAACUUGUUUUAUCAAUGUUUACAACAUAUUCUCAAGUUCACUACAAGUUGUCUUCCUGAGCAACAGUCACUAAAUUAUUUAUAUCUGGAGCUACGAAACUAUGAAUUAAGUUUUGUUAAUUUUCCCUGAAACUAGACUUAUUUUCCUUUCUUCCAUAAAAUUUCCAGAAUUUUUGGUUAAUCCAAAUAGUACAGUUUAUUAGUUAAAGUCUCCCCUGUUUCAGGGUAUAACCACUCUGACCCCUGUUCACUACAAACUGAAUUUAUCCCUGUAAAAAAUUCCAACGACCAUGCCGUUUAUUUCCCAUAAAAAUAGACUCAAUAAGGAAUCUAUGCAUGUAAGGUAUAACUCUUAAUAAUUUUUGUACAAUUUUUGGUGAAUUUCUAAAGUUAGAACAGGAGAUCUCGAAUUCAUUCAGACCCUGUUUCACAAGAAUUCAAAUAUCACACAAUAUGGAAUUCUUUUUCUUCUCCUGUUUCUUUCAUGUGAAAAUAUACUCAUUGAUCUUUAAUCCCAUAUUUUAUUCUGCCUCUAACUCAUUUUCCACUAUUUUUAGUGUAUUUUCAAAGUUACACUACUACAGUAACUCAAAUCUGUCAAGGCUAAAUUACUCAUUCAUGAUCAUUGUUCACAAAAUUAAUACAACAUCGUUUGUAUAAUCAUCACAGAGACAUUCAUAUCAGAUUUUCAUUUACCAUCUUACCAUAUUGUUGUUAUGUCGAGUUUUCAACCCGAAGGUUAAGUACAUACCUGUUCAAAGUAUCCAUUUCACAACAUUUACCAAUACGUCCCUUUCAUCUCGAGUAUUCCUCCAUUUGAGUAGAAUUUUACCCGUUGAACACAUCGGAAUAUAAUUCGGAUACAUGGAAAGUUUGCACAUAAGUGCCACAUAUGUAGCCAAGCUACCAUGUAACCCGCCCAUAAGUGAACUCGGACUCAACUCAACGAGCUCGGGCGUUCGCAUCCAUAAGUGAACUCGGACUCAACUCAACGAGCUCGGAUGCCUAGUUACAUCUCACGAACUCAGACUCAACUCAACGAGUUCGAACAUUCGCAUCCAUAAGUGAACUCGGACUCAACUCAAUGAGUUCGGAUGCUCAACCAUCCUAGUGACAUGUCACUUGUAUCCUAAUCUAUUCCUAAGGUUCAAACGGGAUUUUCCUCGAACACAUAUCCUUGCCAUCUUCCGUAAAAUACCGAAACCAAUACUCGGUAGCACUUUAUAUUUAACAGAUAAUACACAUAACUUGCAUUUUAUUCGAAAAUAACCACAAAGCAUAUAUUUCAUGAUAAAAAUCAGCAUAUCAUAUAUUUAACAUCAAUAACUUAAAAAUAACAAUUAUGCUACAUUAUUUACACAUGAACUUACCUCGAUACCACAAAGGUGAAAAGACAUACUCGUCCAUAAAUCGAUUUCUUUCCGUUCUAGGUCCAAAUCUCAAUUUUCAUCAUCUAUAACAUCACAUUUAGCCUACCAAUUAGUCACAAUAUUCAUAUGGGUCAAAAAAUCAUAUUUUUACAAAUUUUCAUUUUGACCCCUAAACUUUUGCAUAUUUUCACUUUUGCCCCAAUGCUCGUAAAUUAAUUUUUAUGACAUUUCUUUACUCCUUGAGUCUAGAUGAACCAUUUUCAUAACUAUAGCAACUCAUAAUUUCAACUAUUUUACACAUUUACAACUCAUUUUACAACUUAGCAAUUUACCCCUUUUUUAAGGUAUUUUCAUGCAAUUUCUUUCACAAAAGUUGUUUAUUAGACAACUAGGACUCAUAAUCUUCCAUAAAAACACAGCAAACAACACAUUCACUCUCAUGGUAAAACCCUAGACUCUUCAUCAUUUUGCAAAAUAGUCCCCUCUUAUGAAAGCUUAUGCUUUAGGGGUUCCAAAAAUACAAAAAUCAUCAAGCAAAGACAUUAAAAUCACUUACAAGCAAGGGAAAUAUGUUGCUGAAAUUUUCCAGCUUCAAAACCCUUUCUUUGCUGCAUAUUUCGGUGAAGGGGAAGAGAAAAAUGAUAGCUUUUUCUUUUUCUUUUUUUUUAUUUGUUAAUAAUAAAACUAUUUUGUCUAAUUUUGACUUUUCAACUAUUUUGUCUCCCAUGGCCGGCCAUCACACUUUCAAUGGCCUAAUUUACUUUAAAGACCCCCAAUUUAAGAUACAAGGCAAUUUAACACCUUUAGGUAUUAAAACACAACUUUUACUUUUUACGCGAUUUAGUUCUUUUUCGAAAUUGGACUAGAAAUCGCUAAAAUUAAUAUACCAAAAUUAACAUGCACUUAUAAAAUCAUAUUAUAACACAUAAAAUAAUACUAAAAUAAUUUUCUCUAGCCUCAGAAUAGUGGUC